UCUUUCCCCCUCCCCCUUUCUCUUCCCUCUUUCUUUCUCCCUAUCUCUCCUUUUCUUUUUCUCUCCCGCUAUCACUUCCUUCCUUUCCUACUCUUUGUUAACUUUUCAAUGUUCUAGUAUGCUGGUGUGAUUGUGUGUGUAUGAGGCAUUUUUUUUUUUUAUCUGCUUUACACUUUGAAAGUCUAAGAUCUGUUUUGGUUUGUCAAUUAUUGUACAGGGCCCCAUCCUCGCAAGCUAUGCUUUUCUUGGGGCCCUUCCAAUUUCUAUUCAUGAAUUUUGUAUGUAUUUAUUUUGAUUGAGUUUUUAAUAGAAAAUAAAUGAACUGAUCAAAUAUAGGUAUUUUCUAAUUGUUUUUAAUAAUGCAGAAAAAACAGGCUAAUCAGCAAGUAGAAUCUAGGAAUAAGGAGAUAAGCUGUAUAAUGGAUAAAUUGGUGGCCAAUAUAAAAUCCUCUCGUCAAUGUCCAAGCCCAAGCAGCAACAAGUGGCACCAAAGCUACCCAACAGGCAGCUGAACUGGAGGCUCUGAAGAUUAAGUUAAAGUAAAAAACCAAGGAGAAUGUUGAGCUCCGUGAAAAAGUCAACAAGUAAACAGAAUUAAGCACAAGGCUCCAGACUGAGAUCCUUGAUGUAUUUGGUAAGGCUUUCAUUUUUGAAGCUUUUUCACUUUUAAGGGAUUUUUUCACUUUGUUCUGACUUAUAUAUUAGAGAUGUAAAACAAAGUUUGAAAAUGGAUGAGGAUUGGUGUCAAUAACUACAGUAAAGAGCGAAUCUAGAACACAUGGAGAUCAGGCCUCGUUUUACAAAGAGCUACGACUGAUCCAAUCAGUCCUAACUCUAUGGAAAUCAGUUUCAUAAUUUUUUGUACAGGAAAUUUGCACGAUGUCUUUUGUAAACAAAGAAGCACAGCAAAUUUUCAAGAAAACAUUGAAUGCAUGAAUAUACAUCAUAUAUGGAAAAUAUUUUGAACAAACAUGCAUAAUGUUGACGUUGAUGGCCGUCCAUAGUUGCGAUUGAUCAAUUGUAACUCUUUGUAAGACAGGGCCCUGGUGAACCCAUCAUGACAACAUGCCCUGAAUGUACAGUGUAAUGUUGUGCAUAGGAGUUAACAGAAGACAGUGAACACAGCCAACAGACUGAAUUCUAAAUAACUUGGAAUACUGGUGUAAAGCUAAAUGCAUCUCAGCGAUGUCUACCAAAAGUCACGCUGACAAAUCGCUAUUAGUGUAUAAUUCAUAGUUUUCAUUGUAUAUUAUGGUGUGUUUCAGAUGUACAGCAUGCAUCAUCAAGUAUGAGAUUCUUAUUGUCACUGAAUAUCUUCCAUUUUCCAUCAAUAAAUGGCGCAGUAACAAAGUGGCAAAUAGUCUGGAGUUGUCGCCCCUUUUCUUCCUCUUCUAGCAAAAAUCAAUCAAGGAUGUUGGAUUUCAGUCCAUCUACCUCCACGCCCAUCCUACAUGUAACUCCUUCAGCAGACUCGGCUGCCCCUUCAGCAGACUUGGCUGCCCCGGCUUCAACUACCCCUACCCCGGCUUUGAUCCAGGAACACAUGGCAGAGCCAAAGAGAAUCUCUACGUUCCAAUAGAUGGAAAAGUAAGUUUAAAAGGACCAUCUUUUCAUCCGAAGAGAAUCUCUACAUUCCAAUAGAUGGAAAAGUAAGUUUAAAAGGACCAUCCCUUCAUCCGAAGAGAAUCUCUACAUUCCAAUAGAUGGAAAAGUAAGUUUAAAGGGUCCAUCCCUUCAUCCGAAGAGAAUCUCUACAUUCCAAUAGAUGGAAAAGUAAAUUUAAAAGGACCAUCCCUUCAUCCGAAGAGAAUCUCUACAUUCCAAUAGAUGGAAAAGUAAGUUUAAAGGGUCCAUCCCUUCAUCCGAAGAGAAUCUCUACAUUCCAAUAGAUGGAAAAGUAAGUUUAAAAGGACCAUCCCUUCAUCCGAAGAGAAUCUCUACAUUCCAAUAGAUGGAAAAGUAAGUUUAAAGGGUCCAUCCCUUCAUCCGAAGAGAAUCUCUACAUUCCAAUAGAUGGAAAAGUAAGUUUAAAAGGACCAUCCCUUCAUCCGAAGAGAAUCUCUACAUUCCAAUAGAUGGAAAAGUAAGUUUAAAAGGACCAUCCCUUUAUUUCAGUUGAUCCGUCGGAAUAUGUGAGUGUAACACUGGCAUAUUUAUGUAAUACCAAUUCAAGAAGAUAUUUGUGGAUGUGAAUUAAUGAAGACAUCUUGGUAACUCUACUAAUAUUUUGCUAAUUUUUUUAAAGGUUUCCCUUGGAGAGAAUGUAUCUUUGACAGCUCAGCAGUGGGAGAUACUGGCCCGCCAACGAUCCCAUUCUAUGUUUGUAAAGACGUUGGCAGUCAUGAUUUGGGGAUCAGGAGUUCUGAAGGAUAGAAGUGUUCAUGGCCGCCCAAAUCCAAGGAAUAAAGAGGCCCAGGUGAAGGCACCCCUGACUUGUGCUAAGCUGCAAGCAGUGAGGGGUGAGAUUCAGUAUCAGUUUCCUUGUGUUCCAUUGAAGUCACAAUGCAAGGGAAUAUGGUGCUAUAUGCAGGUGAUGUACCAAGGAUACAAGAGACCGACAGUGUCAAAAUAACACCAAACAGAACAGAGGCCGGUGCAACCAGCAGCUAUGGCGCGCCGUUUGACCAAUAAUUCACAUAAACACUGUUUAUCGCCGAAAAACACUGUUUAUCGAGCGAUAAACACUGUUUAUCAAGCGAUAAACAGUGUUUAUCGACUGAAAAACACAGUUUCUCUCGAUAAAUAGUGUUUAUCGCCGAAAAACACUGUUUAUCGCCGAUAAACACUGUUUAUCGAGAGAAACUGUGUUUAUCAGUCGAAAAACAUAGUAUCUCUCGAUAAACACUGUUUAUCGCCGAUAGACACUGUUUUUCGGCGAUAAACAAUGUUUAUCAAGCGAUAAACACUGUUUAUCGAGAGAAACUUGAUAAACAUAGUUUCUCUCGAUAAACAGUGUUUAUCGCUUGAUAAACAUUGUUUAUCGCCGAUAAACAGUGUUUUUCGGCGAUAAACACUGUUUAUCGAGAGAAACUAUGUUUUUCGACUGAUAAACACAGUUUCUCUUGAUAAACAGUGUUUAUCGGCGAUAAAAAUGUUUUUCGGCGAUAAACACUGUUUAUCUGAUUUAUUGGGCAAAUGGCGCGCACUCGUACUCUAGAUCAUGCAGUGCCGUAUCACCGUAUGCACUAGCUACUCUAGAUCUCCACGUGCGUGCGCCGGCACCACGUUUUAAAUUAUUAAAAAUACUGCCCUGUUGUUGGGAUGGACCUGUUUAACUAGAUUCUCUUGAUCUUGAGCAGAAUUUCAGCCAACUCCAGAAUGGUGGAACCUCUACCGAUGGGGGCAUUUGACCCACUAGAAGAUUCAGAUGAUAUGGGGUUUUUAUGUCCAUGGAGGAAUUGAUGGAUAUUCAAGGUGCAUCCCCUUCCUAUGCGUCAUCUUGGGAAAUACAG